rnacentral:rRNA from 1 species
GGUUGCGAUCAUACCAGCACUUAUGCACCGCAUCCCAUCAGAACUCCGCAGUUAAGCGUGCUUGGGCGAGAGUAGUACUAGGAUGGGUGACCCCCUGGGAAGUCCUCGUGUUGCAACCCC